rnacentral:rRNA from 1 species
GACGAACGCUGGCGGCGUGCUUAACACAUGCAAGUCGAACGAUGAACCCGGAGCUUGCUCUGGGGGAUUAGUGGCGAACGGGUGAGUAACACGUGAGUAACCUGCCCUGGACUCUGGGAUAAGCGUUGGAAACGACGUCUAAUACCGGAUAGGACCUCGAACCGCAUGGUUUGGGGUGGAAAGUUUUUCGGUCUGGGAUGGACUCGCGGCCUAUCAGCUUGUUGGUGAGGUAAUGGCUCACCAAGGCGUCGACGGGUAGCCGGCCUGAGAGGGUGACCGGCCACACUGGGACUGAGACACGGCCCAGACUCCUACGGGAGGCAGCAGUGGGGAAUAUUGCACAAUGGGCGCAAGCCUGAUGCAGCAACGCCGCGUGCGGGAUGACGGCCUUCGGGUUGUAAACCGCUUUUAGUAGGGAAGAAGGGCUUCGGCUUGACGGUACCUGCAGAAAAAGGACCGGCUAACUACGUGCCAGCAGCCGCGGUAAUACGUAGGGUCCGAGCGUUGUCCGGAAUUAUUGGGCGUAAAGAGCUCGUAGGCGGUUUGUCGCGUCUGCUGUGAAAUCUGGAGGCUCAACCUCCAGCCUGCAGUGGGUACGGGCAGACUAGAGUGCGGUAGGGGAGAAUGGAAUUCCUGGUGUAGCGGUGGAAUGCGCAGAUAUCAGGAGGAACACCGAUGGCGAAGGCAGUUCUCUGGGCCGUAACUGACGCUGAGGAGCGAAAGCGUGGGGAGCGAACAGGAUUAGAUACCCUGGUAGUCCACGCCGUAAACGUUGGGCGCUAGAUGUGGGGACCUUUCCACGGUUUCCGUGUCGUAGCUAACGCAUUAAGCGCCCCGCCUGGGGAGUACGGCCGCAAGGCUAAAACUCAAAGGAAUUGACGGGGGCCCGCACAAGCGGCGGAGCAUGCGGAUUAAUUCGAUGCAACGCGAAGAACCUUACCAAGGCUUGACAUGACCGAGAACGCCGCAGAAAUGUGGAACUCUUUGGACACUCGGUUACAGGUGGUGCAUGGUUGUCGUCAGCUCGUGUCGUGAGAUGUUGGGUUAAGUCCCGCAACGAGCGCAACCCUCGUCGCAUGUUGCCAGCACGUAAUGGUGGGAACUCAUGUGAGACUGCCGGGGUCAACUCGGAGGAAGGUGGGGAUGACGUCAAAUCAUCAUGCCCCUUAUGUCUUGGGCUUCACGCAUGCUACAAUGGCCGGUACAAAGGGCUGCGAUGUCGUAAGGCGGAGCGAAUCCCAAAAAGCCGGUCUCAGUUCGGAUUGAGGUCUGCAACUCGACCUCAUGAAGUCGGAGUCGCUAGUAAUCGCAGAUCAGCAACGCUGCGGUGAAUACGUUCCCGGGCCUUGUACACACCGCCCGUCAAGUCAUGAAAGUCGGUAACACCCGAAGCCGGUGGCCUAACCCUUGUGGAGGGAGCCGUCGAAGGUGGGAUCGGUGAUUAGGACU